UACGUAGGAUGCAAGCGUUGUCCGGAAUUAUUGGGCGUAAAGAGCUUGUAGGCGGUUUGUCGCGUCUGCUGUGAAAUUUCGGGGCUCAACCCCGAACUUGCAGUGGGUACGGGCAGACUAGAGUGUGGUAGGGGAGACUGGAAUUCCUGGUGUAGCGGUGAAAUGCGCAGAUAUCAGGAGGAACACCCGUGGCUAAGGCGGCUCUCUAGUACGGUACUGACGCUGAGACGCGAAAGCGUGGGGAGCGAACAGG
rnacentral:rRNA from 1 species